CUUGAUGGAGCCCAGCCACAGCGGUUCGCCGUCCGCUCGCUCCUGCCCGUAGGUGGCGAGGAGGGCCUGGGCUUC
rnacentral:antisense_RNA from 3 species